rnacentral:rRNA from 1 species
UCAAGCUAUAAAGAGCGCAAGGGGAAUGCCUUGGCAUCAGGAGCCGAUGAAGGACGUGAUAAGCUGCGAUAAGCUUCGGGGAGCUGCAAAUGAGCUGUGAUCCGGAGAUUUCCGAAUGGGGAAACCCACCGCAAGGUAUCCCAUACUGAAUCAAAUAGGUAUGGGAAGGGAACCGCCUGAACUGAAACAUCUAAGUAGGGCGAGGAAAAGACAUCAACCGAGAUUCCGCGAGUAGUGGCGAGCGAAAGCGGAUUAGGCCAAACCGGAGGUAGCAAUAUCUCCGGGGUUACGGACAGCAACAUGAAGGAAGUUUUCUAAAAGAACGGCAUGGGAAGGCCGGCCAGAGAGUGUGAGAGCCACGUAUUUGAAAGAGAACUUUUGGAUAGCUGGAUCCAGAGUACCGCGGGACACGAGGAAUCCCGUGGGAAGUCGGGGGGACCACCCUCCAAGCCUAAAUACUACCUGAUGACCGAUAGAGGAGCAGUACCGUGAGGGAAAGGUGAAAAGAACCCCGGGAGGGGAGUGAAAGAGUACCUGAAACCUUGUGCUUACAAGCAGUCAAAGCCCGUUAAAGGGUGAUGGCGUACUUUUUGUAGAACGGUCCGGCGAGUUAUAGUAACUGGCGAGGUUAAGGUAUUGAGUACCGAAGCCGAAGGGAAACCGAGUGUGAAGAGCGCGAAUGAAGUCAGUUGCCAUAGACCCGAAACCAGGUGACCUAGCCAUGACCAGGCUGAAGUGGAGGUAAAGCUCCAUGGAGGGCCGAACCCACGUUCGUUGCAAUGACCGGGGAUGAGUUGUGGCUAGCGGUGAAAUUCCAAACGAACCUGGAGAUAGCUGGUUCUCCCCGAAAUAGUUUUAGGACUAGCGUUGGCAAUGAGUUUCGCGGUGGUAAAGCACUGAAUGGGCUAGGGGGCGAUAAGCUUACUGAACCCUAUCAAACUAAGAAUGCCGCAGAAAUGCUUACCAGCAGUCAGACUACGAGUAAUAAAAUCCGUGGUCAAAAGGGAAAUAGCCCAGACCCACAGCUAAGGUCCCCAAUACAUGCUAAGUGGAAAACGAUGUGAGAUUGCAGAAACAACCAGGAUGUUGGCUUAGAGGCAGCCACUCGUUCAAAGAGUGCGUAAUAGCUCACUGGUCGAGUGAUCUUGCGCGGAAAAUUUAACGGGGCUAAGCAUGUAACCGAAGCUUGGGAUUCACGAUUUAUCGUGAGUGGUAGGGGAGCGUCGAAUACGGGGUGAAGUCGCACCGGAAGGAGCGGUGGACUGUAUUCGAGUGAGAAUGCCGGAAUGAGUAGCGAGAAUUAUGUGGGAAUCAUAAUGGCCGAAAAUCUAAGGUUUCCUGGGGAAGGUUCGUCCGCCCAGGGUAAGCCGGGAGCUAAGGCGAGGCCGCAAGGCGUAGUCGAUGCACAUACGGUAGAAAUUCCGUAGCCGGUACAAUUGUUAAUCACGGUGACACAUGAGUAUAGCUCUACCGGGCGUUGGUAGCCCCGGGCGUAAGCGAGUCGAAUGAGGCGAAGUGAGUAAAGCUUGUGGCGAGAAAAGCCGUGAGGAUUGGUUGUACUGCCCGUACCGCAAACCGACACAGGUAGAUGAGGAGAAGAUCCUAAGGCCAACGGGAGAAGGGUUGUUAAGGAACUAGGCAAAUUGACCCCGUAACUUCGGAAUAAGGGGUGCCUACGAAAGUAGGUCGCAGAGAAUAGGCCCAAGCAACUGUUUACCAAAAACACAGGUCUCUGCUAAAUCGAAAGAUGACGUAUAGGGGCUGACGCCUGCCCGGUGCUGGAAGGUUAAGAGGAGAGCUUAGGGAAACCGAAGGUUCGAAUUGAAGCCCCAGUAAACGGCGGCCGUAACUAUAACGGUCCUAAGGUAGCGAAAUUCCUUGUCAGGUAAGUUCUG